CGGGAUUUACGUAAGAGGAGAGGAAAAGCAGGAAGGAGGAGGAAGAACAAAGGCUGUCGCCUCGCGACCUGCGUUCCUGUCCUUGGCUGUUCCUGGAAAAUUGCUGUCAUGUCUGGCUAGAUCUUCUGUCUGUGUCCCUGGCCGGGGCCGUGCCACUUUCUGCACUGGGAUUUCUGGGAGAUAACAACCGGAGAGCAAUCUUGUACAGUCCCCCGACAGGACGUGUACAGUGCACUGCCGCAUACCUCAGUUCUGAGGGCUGGUGACACCAUCCAGCCCCCUCACCAACAGCCUCUCCUUGCCUCACGUAAUUUCUAUCUCUGAAUAUCAAAAGUCCUACCGAUGAAACAGCCG
rnacentral:lncRNA from 1 species